CCAUAAUUAUCAUCAUCUUGCUCCUCUGUGGCAGAAAAAUAAGCCUCAGGGCACCUAGUCUUAACACCAAAUCUCUUACAGAAGGGCAGCCACCACCUGGCAAAUCUCCAAGCCUCCUUCAUGGCUUUCAAAGUCACCUUAGAACCCCCAUCAUCCGAAAGAUAAACAUUCAGCUUAUCAGCAGGAUAAUCCAACGCCAUGGCGGAUAUAAUAGUGUUCAUCACUCCCAAAGUUGGCUCCUUUCUGGGAUCAGCCGUACAUAUAAACACGUCGAUGGCCGGAAGUUGUUUAUCUUCCGGCAAUCUCUCGGGGAAGACCUUUCGAGAGAUGGGGCGCCAAAGGUAAGCUUGGUUGAGGAGCCAAAUGAAGGAGAGUAUGAGCUCAGAAGCAAACACAAGAACAUGGGGUAAGAUUGGCGUGUGUUUUGUUCUUAGGGUUUGGGAGAUGAAGGAAACUCUGUAAUAAAAUAAAAAUGAUAGAGCUAUAAAAUGGAGGAAAGUAUGGAGUCUGUUGAUGAUUAGACAAAGCUUCUGCACUUGGUAUGAAUGGAGAGGAAGAGUUUUAUCCAUUCCCAUUGCCUCAUUCAUUUAGAGAAGAGGUAUAUGGGUUUUUGUGUCAUUAUAUAGAAUAGCAGUACUAGGGUGCCCCAAAAUUUGGUGCCCCCGAGUGCUUUAUAGUAUAAGACAAUGUAGUGUAUGUUGUGUAUUGUACCGUACAAUACUAUAAAGCUGCUUUAGACAUUUUGAAAAGUAAGAUAUAGUAGAUAUAACGGAUCCGGUUAGUAUGAAGUUUAUUUUUUGAUAAGUUGGUUAAUUGGCGAGUAAAAUAUUGACACACAUAGUCUUACCUGAGUGUCAGUAUUUUAUUGGUCAAUUGAUCAACUUAUCCAAAAAUAAACUUUUACAUUAACCACUCUCAGAUAUAACCAUGUUGUUCCAGGUUCAUUGUACUCCUUUUUUUUGUUCAAUGCAUCUAGUUUGUAGGGAAAUAAAUAAGCUAGUUGAUUGUCAUGCUAAAAAUGCUCGUCACUAGGAAAAAAUUGCUGGGAAAAUUGGAGAGUUCGCACGUACACAAGAUACUAAUAUAUAUGUUUGAAAUUCAACUUGAUCCAAAAAUUUUAUUAUUUAUCCGACCUCUCACAAGUGAGUUUAUCACAUAAGAGUUGUCCCUUCACUUCUCUUUAAUCACCGCACAUCAAUUCCCUCACUUGAACCCCCUCUCUUUAAUCACCGCGCGCACACUAAUUCUUGACUAACUAUUAUAGAUACUUUUAAUUAUUAUGGAUCCUUUUUUCUCCACCGAGAAUCAAUUUAAUUUCAUCAAUAAUUAAACACUUUCUCUUCAAUCAUAUCACCAAUAUCGAAACCAAUUAUCGGCUAAACCCAUCGAGAAUUCAACAUUCACCAUCGAGGGCACAUUAAGGUAAACACUAAUCUUUCAUCGAGAAUUCACCACCAUCACGUGUCUUUUAAAGAGGCUUUCCGAAAUUUAAUUUUCGGGAUCAAUUAAUCUUUUGUAGCUUUGAUUCCACUUAUUAGAAAAAUCGGGAAGCCCGUGUGUGGCGUGUGCGUACACAAGAAACUAACAUACGUGUUUGAAAUCAAACUUGACCCUAAAAUGUGAGUCAUUACGUCUUGGAUCUAUUCAUGUAUAUUAAUCAUUUACUCUUUCAUUAUUUAUUUGAUGCGAGACUUCAAUUUACUUGUGAUAUCUUAACAAAAACGAUUCAUGUUGGAACUUGUGACUAAUAACAUAGAAGAUUCAGGGUUAAACCGAAGGUUGCGAGGGGGUACGGGGGGCGGAGCCCCUCUGCGGCAUGGUACAAAAUUUCUGCAAGGGUAGCGCGGGCCGCGCCAGUGCAAGGCUAGAAGUGGCGCAGGGCGCGCUAGGAUCGAUGCAGGUUCUGCAUGUGCGGCGCGGGGCGCGCUAGUGGCGGUCUGGAAGCGACACAAGGCGCACCGGUCAACGGACAUAAUUUACUGGUUCAUUUGUUGGAAGGACAUUAUGGGUAUUUGAGACAUAAUGUGAAGUACGGUAGGAAUAAAAUUAAUGUCUAUAAAUACUAACUAUUGUAAAGUCUUAUGUAACUGAAAUUAUCAAUAAAAACAACAAGCCGUAUGUGGAGUAUUCAAAUUGAAAAACCACAAAAAUUUCUGUAUUAAUUCUCUAUUAUCAUGUACGUGUGUGGUCCUAAUUCUAACAAUUCAGUUUCAUAGUAUUCCUCUAUUUUUGUCUAAAAAUCUAUAACUUUUGAUUUUAAAGGGAGAAUCACCCCUAAAUGUGGGAUUAUAAACUCUUAAACGGUUAAACCUUGUAUUUCUGUUUGAUGUGUUGUUAAUAUAAGUUGCAUGCCAAUAUAAAAAAGAUAUAACCAUAUUAGAAUGAGUUCAUACCAGUGUGAGUCAUGGAUCCGGUUAGCAUAAAGUUUAUUUUUUAGUAAGUUGGUCAAUUGAUAAAUAGAAUGCUGACACACAUAGAGUCUCGUCUGCGUGUCAGCACUCUAUUGGCCAAUUGACCAACUUACUCAAAAAUAAAUUUCAUACUAACCAUUUUCGUGACCCAUACCCAUUUGUCGGUCAUUAUUACUUGAUAGGCAGGUGUAGCAGUGUUUACUUGGCUGCCUUUGGCCACACAAGUUUGAAUAGUCACAGCAUUUCUCACAGUAGCUAAAUAAGUAAGAUUAUUUAUAUGGUAGAAUGAAGCGUCAGAUUCAGACAAUUAUAGUGUACUACCAGCUUAUGAGAUUCAAUUCAUCCUACUGAUUCAGUUAUAGAAAAACAGAUUCAAACAAUUAUAGUGUACCGACUUAUGAGAUUCGAGGUGGUGUUUGAUUUUAUUUUAACAGUUCAGUUCUUAAUAUUUGAAAUUGAGAUAAAAAAAAAUUUCUUUGAAUGUCUCUAAAUUAUUAAGAUACAAAUAUGAAUAUAAAGACUUCUUAAUACAAAUAUAUAAGCUGUUAAAAUACAUUAAGAUGAGUUGUUAAGAUGCAUUAAGAUACAAUCAAACAUCACCUCAAUUCAUCCUACUUGUUUGGUUAUAGAAAAUAUUAUAGGGAUUAGUUUUAUAUAUAAUUUUUAUUGUAUUAAUUAAUAUAAUAUUUUUUAUAAUUAAUAUAAUAAAAAUAUAUAUAUAUAUAUAUAUAUAUUAUGAUGAAAUUGGUGUUAAUUUUACCAUAACCAGAUCUUAAUUAUUUAUACAAACGUGGAUAUGGAGUAAUUUAGUUUCAUAAAUUUAUCUAAACAAACUCAUAUGGAUUUUACUUAAAUGAUAAUUUUCAAUUGCAAAAAUACUCUCUUCAAAUACAAAUUUUAAUAGUAUAGUACUCCCUCCGUUCCUUAAUAUAAGUCGUUUUAGAGAAAUAUUUUUAUUCUUAAAUAUAAGUUGUUUGAGAAUUUCAAGUAAGUAUUUAUUGCUUAGUUUCCAAUAUUACCCCAAGUAAUAAAUAUAACUUUGGUUCUCUCACUAUUUUUUGUUCAAUAAAUAACAAUUCUCUUUUUCUAAUACAAGGGUAAUAUAAACAAUUGAUAUUAUAAUUAAUACUAUAUAAUCAUUUUCUUAAUAUUUAUGCACAACUCUAAAACGAUCUAUAUUAAGGAACCGAAGGAGUACAGCAUGAUUUACUACCACAAAAACCUGACAACCCAGGGAUAUCGAGCACUUAUUUAAAGGUAAAAAUAAAUUUAUUUUUUCACUUUUUACCGUAAUUGUUAAAAUAAGAUCGAUAUUAAUUUUUUAUUAAAUGUCAAUUAAAAAUAUUUUUAAACUCAAAAUAGACAUAAUUUAUUUAUAUUUGAGAGACAGUAAAUCCCAUUUAGAUAUAUAAUUUAUGGAAUUCAAAAACAUAGUGUUAAAAAGUAAAUGAAUUUAUAUUAAUUUUUUAUUUAACAACUGUUUAAAUUAAAUUUAUAUUUUGAAACAGAGUAGUAUGUAGAAAUGAUUAUGCACUUCACAUCAUAAGAUAUAUAGUGCUUCUGUUUUAAGGACAAAAUGUGCUGGAUUUUGUUCAUACAAAUGGAGUGUGGUUGGUGAAAAUGUUAGGUAUUCAUGAACCCCAACAAUUAUCAAUUAUCAAUUAUCAAUAAACAUGAUUAAAUAAUGACAAUAUGAUAUGUAAAUUUUUGUUGAUUUUCAUCAAUCAACAAAUCAUUUGAUUAAGAAAUUAAUCAUUCAGAAAGAAUCUUCAUAGAAGCUAUGUUCAACAAUACUAUUACUUUAAAAAAUUUCUUAUGUAGUUGUUAAAUUAGGUUGAAAAAAUUAUCUAAUCUUGUUACUUUUAUAAUAUUUUAUUUUAUUGUGAAAGAUAAGUAUCGUAAACUAUGCGAAUACAUUCUUAUAAAAAUUUAAAUAAAUUACAUUAGUUUUGAAUGUAUUUGUCUCCUAUUAACGUUAAAGUUAUAAUUUGUCAUUAGAGCUUCAUUUUUAUAUUAUUACCACUACUGAGCCAGCAACUUGUUAUUUUAACAAGUAAACAUGUAAUAUUUAUAAAUUAUGCAAGCGAGACUCUUAAUUAUGAAAUGAAUGAAAUAUUACUUAUAUUUUAUAUUUUAUAGUUUAUAUUUUAUAUUAAGUCAUCCCUCCUGGCCAAGCCAAUACUAAUAAAUCUUUAGAAUAUGUUGUCAAUCUCAAUAGAAGCGUAUACGUGUGUGUGUAUUUAUAUAUAUAUAUAUAUAUAUAUAUAUAUAUAUAUAUAUAUAUAUAUAUAUAUAUAUAUAUAUGUGUGUGUGUGUGAGACCUCAGAUUUUAUAAAUAAAGAUUAAAAUUUAUUGAAAUAUUUUUUUUAAUAUUAUGAUGUGGAUUUGAGAUAGUGUUAUAGUUGUGGGUAGUAUUUGAAAAUUUUACAAAGUAUGCAAGUUGUUAUAAAAUAUUCUUUUUGUCGGGGAAUAUUCUUUUGUCGGAAAUAUUCGUACGACGACAUAAUCAUUGGUGGACCCCACAACGAAAGCAUUGUCGUAGUUAGAAAACGACAAAAAUAUUUUAUGAAAAUAACGGUGGAAGUUUAACCGUUAAUACUGUUGAACUACCCGGUAGUAAAAGUACAGUAAUACACGUGGUUGAAUAGUAGCACACGUUAUUGAUUAUUGAUAUUUAUGUAAGAAGUCGCUCAGUUUGAAUCAAUUAUUGUCGAUUAUUAAUAUGAAUUAUUAUAGCGAUAAUGACGUUUUGUUUUAAUUAUUAUAGUGAUAAUGACAUGUUGGUGGGAGGGGAACAACGAUAAUGACGUUUUGUUUUAUUCGUAAUAAAACAGAAACAUCUUUUUAUAUAAAACAGAAUACUUUAUUAAAGUUAUUCUAUAAAUAGAAUAUAUUAUAUUUUAUUAUGCAUAGUGUUUGCAUAGUGCCUGCAUAGUAAAAAUCUUUUUAUAUAAAUAGAAUAUAUUAUAUUUUAUUUAAAAAAUUUUGCUUUAAAUAUGGACCGUCAGAUUAAAGUAAAUCAAUCUGGACCGUUCAUGAGUUAGUUACUAUGCAUUCCAUUCUUCUAUAAAUAGAAGCUCAUUCCUUCAUUAUUUUCUUACGAAUUUGUUGAAACUCUAGAGAGAGAAAUUAUAGAGAGAAUCUAUAGAGAGAAAAUUAUGGAGAGAAAGAAGAAGAGUAUUCUGCUACAUCACUACUUCUAUAUUCAGUUCUUUUACGGUAAGGGGUGUUAUUCUUUCUUCUUGAAGAGAACUUCUGUUAUUCCAUUCUUUAUUAUUCUGUUGGAAUAACCUGUAAAAGUGGCAUACCCUAUACAUGACCUGUAUACGCGGCAUACCCUAUACUUGGUGAUAUCAUUAUGUUAUUCCAUUCUUUAUUAUUCUGUUGGAAUAACCUGUAUGCGCGGUUUACCCUAUACUUGGUGGAAUGACUAGUAUAUGCGGUUCACCCAAUACAUGGUGAUCUUCUUUUGUUAUUCAAUUCUUUAUUAUUCUGUUGGAAUAACCUGUAUACGCGGCAUACCCUAUACAUAACCUGUAUAAGUGGCAUACUCUAUACUUGGUGAAGUCUGUUGUUAUUCAAUUCUUUAUUAUUAUGUUGGAAUAACCUGUCUAUGCGAAGUACUGCAUACAUGGUGAAAUUCUUUUAUUAUUCCAUUCUUUAUUAUACUGUUGGUUAUUGGUUUUACAGUUGUAUAUUUUUGGCCUGUAGUGCAAAGAUGAUCUGUUAUUUGAUAGCUUUGACCCAUAGCGCAAAGAUGGACAUGUGUAUGACAUGCUCAUGACCACUAGUGAUACUAACGAAUAUCCUUGGCACGUAGUGCGGGGAUGAUUCGAUGAAGUGGAUUAUUUAUUUAGCUGAGUCUCAGCGAUUAGUUUUAUAGUUGAAUAUCUUUGGCACGUAGUGCAAAGGUAGACAACUGAUUUGUCUGAUCAUUGUUAUUACACUUGAAUAUCUUCAGCCUUUGGGGUAAGGAUAUUGAGGAAACGUUCUAUUAAGCCUUGUGGCAAGAAGGAAUUGUUAAUUCAUGUUAUUAUAAAUAUGAAUUGUGAACUUAAUUAAAAUAUUUAGUGGUUCAGGUGAAUACAGGUGAUAAAAGUUGAUGAAAAUAUUUUUUAAAUCAUAGAAGAUAGUUGGUUUUAUGUUCUACUUGACUCAUCUAAUGGAUUGCUUAUUUCCGCUGCAGUUUUUGAUCUAAAACUUGUUGUCUAUUAUAUUCUAUCAGUUGUUAUACUGUUGAAGGCUAAGGAUAAUUUAUUCUGCAUUAUCUUAGUCAUAAUAUUUCUUACUGGGCUAGUUGAGCUCACCCUUUCUUUCAAUGUUCUCUUCAAGAAAUGAGAAUAUAGCUGUGACGAGUCGGGGAACGGAGUGACAGUCCAGACGAUAGCAUUAGUAGUCCUCACUAUUCUGAUAAAUAGUGUGACAAUAAAUAUAAUGAGGACUCCAUUGGGUAUGGAUAUUGUCUAGAUGACAAUAUUUGUAUUAAAACUCAUAGCAUAUAUUUUAUCGUAUUUUACAUGACAGCUGUAUAAUUAAGUUUUAUUUGUAUUUUGUACCAUGUAUUUGGCGACCCAAGAUGGGUGAUGAAAACCUAAUUUUGGGGGCGUCACAAUAUAUAUAUAUAUAUAUAUAUAUAUAUGUCUCAUUCAUGAUAAUUAAGAUUUAAGGGUGUAAAAGAAUUGAGUCGAGCCGAGUAUUCAGUUGCUCAGAUUUGGUUCACAAAAUUUAUCAAGUAUAAAAUAAGGUUUGUUUGAGACUCGUUUAGCUACCGAGUCGAGUACGAUCUCCAAUCGAGUCCGAACAGUUUGAACUUUUUGAAUAAAUAUGAUCAAGUAUCAAUAAAAAAUUAUAAUUUGAGAAUGUUAGAGUAAUUUAUCAAAUUUUAAAAUUUGUUUAUAUUUGAAUCAUUUAUAUUUUGAGUCGAGCUUGAAUCAAAUUUUUAGUCGAGUGAGUACGAAUUGAACCCGAAAUGUUAGCUCAUUUUACAAUCUUAGUGAUAAUCGAUUGCCAUAAACACUAUUUUAACAAUUAAAUCACCAUAUUCAAUGACUGUUACUAAAACAACAAUGUUAUUAUCACAUAAAAAAGAGUAAAAGACUCACAUAAUGCUCACAUACACAUACAUGAAUACUGCGGGCCCCCGUCUGACAUGUGAGACUCACAAAUAUGUAUAUGUAUGUAUGUAUAUAUUAUGUGAGUCACCGUUAUGUGAUAAUAACAUUAUUUUUACUAAAAAGUGUAGAGAUAAAAAUACUCUUUUUAAUGACAGGAGAAACUAUCAUAAUAAGCAGAGCCGGCCCUGGGCAAGGGCCACCAGGGCAACCGCCAAGGCCCAUAGUUGAUGUGAGACCCCGAAUUUUAUGAAAUAAAAGUAUUCAAUUUUUCUAUUUUGGUAAAUAAUUAAAUUGAUAAAAGGUUAAAGUUAAGGGUGAUAUGUGAAAAUUUUUCAAAGUAAACAAGUUGUCAUAAAAUACUUGGUCACUAUUCACCCAAAUUACUAUUCACUCUAGUAUUAUUCACUCGAGUAUUUGGGACACUUUUUAUGUCGGAGUUACUAUUUACGGGUUACUAUUCACCCAAAUUACUAUUCACUCUAGUAUUGUUCACUCGAGUAUUUGGGACACUUUUUGUGUCGGAGUUACUAUUCACGAGUUACUAUUCAUCGAAAUUACUAUUCACUCUAGUAUUGUUCACUCGAGUAUUUGGGACACUUUUUGUGUCAGAGUUACUAUUCACAAGUUACUAUUCACGAGUUACUAUUUACGAGUUACUAUUCAUGAGGUACUAUUCACAAGUUACUAUUCACCUGAUUACUAAUCACUCUAGUAUUGUGCAUUCGGGUAUUUGGAUACAAUAUUAUUUCAUGAGGAGAUGUGCUAAUUUUUCAGACUAUUGGUUGAAGUUAUAAUAGUGAAUCAAUAUGGACCACUGGUGGAAAGUUAUAAUAGUGAAUCAAUAUGGACCGUUGGUGAAAAAGUUAUAAUAGUGAAUCAAUAUGGAUCGCUGGUUUAAAAUUUUAAUACUGAAUCAGUAUGGACAGUUGCUUUAAGUUUUAAUAUGGACCGUCCGUUUAAAAGUAAAUCGAUCUGGACCGUUCAUGAAUUAGUUACUAUUCAUUCUAUUCUUCUAUAAAUAGAAGCUCAUUCCUUCAUUAUUUUCUUACGAAUUCACUGAAAUUCUAGAGAAAGAAAUUAUAGAGAGAAAGAAGAAGAGUAGACCGUUGAUACUGUUGAACUACUCGGUAGUAAAAGUACAGUAAUACGCGUGGCUGCAUAGUAGCACACGGUAUUAAUUAUUAAUAUUUACGUGAGAAGUCACUCAGUUUUUUUCAAUUAUUGCUACAGUAGUUGUUGCAUAGUAUCUCACGUUAUUUGAUUCAAUUAUUGUUGAUUUAUAAGUUUUGUUUUAUUAGUAUUAUUAACGUAAUAAAGCAGAAAACCUUUUUAUAUAAAACAGAAUACUUUUAUAAAGGUAUUCAUUUUAUUAGGCUAAUAGUAGAAUCUUUUUAUAUAAAACAUAAUACUUUUAUAAAGUCAUUCGUUUUAUUAGACAAUAAUUAGAAUAUAUUAUAUUUUAUUUUAAAGAUUUUGCUUUAAAUAUGGACCGUCAGAUUAAAGUAAAUCAAUCUGGACCGUUCAUGAGUUAGUUACUAUGUAAUCCAUUUUUCUAUAAAUAGAAGUUCAUUCCUUCAUUAUUUUCUUAUGAAUUCACUAAAACUCUAGAGAGAGAAAACUAUAGAGAGAAAGAAGAAAAGUAUUAUGCUACUUCCCUACUCUUAUAACCAGUUUCUUUUACGGUAAGGGAUAUUAUUUGUUGUACCCGUAAGGGGUGUUAUUCUUUCUUAUUUAUGAAGAGAACUUCGGUUAUUCUAUUCUUUAUUAUUCUGUUGGAAUAACCUGUAUACGCGGCAUACCCUAUGCAUAACCUGUAUAAGCGGCAUACCCUGUACUUGGUGAAAUCCUUAUAUUAUUCCGUCUUUAUAUUCUAUCGGAAUAUCCUGUCGGUGUGAAUUUCACCUGACCUGGUUUCAUUAUUUAUUAUUCUACAUUUAAUAUUCUGUCGGAAUAUCCUGUCGGUGUGAAUUUCACCUGACCUGGUUCCAUUAUUUAUUAUUCCGCAUUUAAUAUUCUGUCGGAAUAUCCUGUCGGUGUGAAUUUCACCUGACCUGGUUUCAUUAUUUAUUAUUUUGUGUUUAUUGUUCUGUUGGAAUAACCUGUUUAUGCGAAGUACCGCAUGCAUGGUGAUUUCUGUUGUUAUUCCAUUCGUUAUUAUUCUAUUGGAAUAACCUGUCUAUGCGAAGUACCGUAUGCAUGGUGAUUUCUGUUGUUAUUCCAUUCUUUAUUAUUCUGUUGGAAUAACCUGUCUAUGCGAAGUACCGCAUGAAUGGUGAUUUCUGUUGUUAUUCCAUUCUUUAUUAUACUCAGUUGGUUAAAGUUUUGACUUCUAUACUCCAUGAAAUUAUUGGAAUAUCCUUGAUAUUUGCGCUUCAUCCAGUAUCGUUUCAUGGAAAUAUUCUUCUGAGCAUUCUUAAAUUUUACACCACAAAACAGUAUCUUGUUAACAAUUUGGACGUUAUUGGUUCCUAGAUAAAUUAAUUCUUGAAGUUGUUUUAUUGAAUUAUUAUAUCAUUGUCAUCAUCCUUAUGAUUAUAUUAUGUUGAAAGUCAUCUGUGGCCUGUAGUGCAUAGAUGGACUUGGUAUGAUUAUGACUAGGGAUUAUUCGGUAUAAUCAUGACCGUAAUGUUAUAAAUGAUGUGGUAAAAGUCAUCUGUGGCCUGUAGUGCAUAGAUGGACUUGGUGUGAUUAUGACCACGGAUUAUUCGGUAUAAUCAUAACCGUAAUAAUACAAAUGAUGUGGAAAAAGUCCUCAUUGGCCCGUAAUGCAUUGAUGGACAAUUUUUGGUAUGAUCAUGGCUAUGGAUUCUCUUUGGCCAUUGGAGCAAAGAUGAAUUGUAUUAUGGCAUGAUCAGGACCGUUGAUGAAAACACGAUUAUUUUAGCCUGUAGUGCAUGGAUAAUUUGUGGUCGUGACCCUAAAGAAUAUCCUUGGCCGUAGUACAGGGGUGAUUCGAUGAUGUGGAUUAUUUAUUAAGCUGAGUCACAGCGAUAAAAGUGAUGAAAAACCUUUUAAAUCAUAAAAGAUAGUAGAUUUUAUUCUCUACUUGACUCUUUUAAUUGAUUGCUUAUUUUCGCUGCAGUUUUUGUUCUAAAACUUGUUGUCUAUUAUAUUCUAUCAGUUGUUAUACUGUUGAAGGCUAAGGAUAAUUUAUUUUGCAUUAUCUUAGUCAUAAUAUUUCUUACUGGGCUAGAUGAGCUCACCCUUUGCUUUCAUUGUUCUCUUCAGUAAAUGAGAACGUAGCAGGGAGUAGUCGGGGAACAGAGUGAUGGUCCUAGAUGGUGUAUUAGUAGUCCUCACUAUUCUGUGAAAUAAUUUGAUAAUAAAUGUAAUGAGGACUCCAUUGUGUUUGAAUACUGUCUAGAUGACAAUAUUUUUAUUAAAACUCUCAGUUUAUGUUUUGUCGUAUUUUACACGACUGUUGUAUAAUUAAGUUUGUAUUUGAUUUAUGUACCAUGUAAGUGGCGACCCAAGAUGGGUGAUGUAUACCUAAUUUUGGGGGCGUCACAGUUAGUAUCAGAGCUUAGGGAUAUGAUCCCUGGCUAAGAUGUGAGACAAGAACUAGGAGGGGAGAGACGGGGAAUUCCUUCGCUAGUAUGACCUAUCUAAGUUUAUUUGUUAUUUAAUUGGUUGGUCAGAAUAUAGGAAUAAUAUGUGAUAUGUUAAGUAACCCUUGUUUUGUGACAGCGUUUGCAAACGAUAUCUGAAAAUAUUGAGAUAAGCAAUUAAGCGCAUGAGACCGUUAGGUCAGCUCAACCAAAAGGUAACGAGCAACAACACGAUAAUAAUCGUACUGGUGGCAACGAUCAUCGGAACAAUAUAUGAUAACCAUCGUGGGGGAAAUUAUCAUGCCAAGAAUGGUAACCACUUCGGUGGUAAUCAUGGCCAAGAUAAUAGAAGUGAAAAUUUCAAGAAGAGAAGGUCAUUUAGCUCGAUUUUUUUGUGCACCAAAGUCAAGUCCAGCUGGGACGGUGGCACCAAAGGCGGAUACGGACAAAACAAAGUCGAUGGUUUCAGGGAGAGCGUUUUUUGCGACUUGUCAAAAAGCGAGUAGCCUGAACGAAGUUAGCACGGGUUAGUUAAUUAUAAAUUGCGAAGUCUAUACCUUAUUCGAUACCGGUUCUACCCAUUCUUUUAUCUCUCUUACUUGCGUUCAACGUUUAAAUUUGACUCCGGAGAAGUUAGACUUUGACUUAUUGGUUGAAACUUCGUUAGUAGGAGCCUUCGUUACCUCCACUGUUUAUAAAUCUUGUUUAAUUCAAAUAAACACUUUCACGUUACUUGUCGAUCUUAUCUCUUUGAAAAUACUUGCAUUGAUGUGAUUUUUGGAAAUGAUUGGUUAACUACUCAUCAUGCUUUUCAUAAGGUUGUUAGCUUUUAUAUUCAUAACUAACCUGUUAAGCGAAUUCAAGCAACCAAACCACUAAAGUCAAUCACUGUCAUAUCAAGCCAUAAGUAAAGAGCCCCAAACCUUUCAUUGUUGACUUCCUUGUGUGGAAUGCACCGAAGCCAGACUUUUUGUAGGCGACAUCGUGAAUGAAGAUGGCAAGUUGAUAGGUAUCAUUGUGAGGUGCUAUCCAGGUUAAAGGAUAGAAGUCACCGUUGGUAUCAAUGUGACGUACUAUCCAAGUCUUAGAUGAGGGUCACAGUUUUGAAUGAUAUUUCUAUCGUUAAUAAAUUUCUUGACGUAUUCCUGAAGACUUCUUAGCCUACCCCUAGAGCGUGAAAUCGAAUUUUGUAUUGACCCCAGUACAAAACCCAUUUCUAAAUCCCUCAAGUAUUUAUUCAACUAAAAUGAACGUAACAUGCGCCAAAGGCGUUGGCUCGAGCUGUUGAAUAUUACGAUCGUACCAUUCAAUAUCAUCGUGGAAAAGCGAACGUGGUAGCUGACGUGUUGAGUAGAAGAUCGUAUGCGUUUACGAGUGCGAUAUUCUCAAUGCAAAGACCCAUUUCGUAUAACUUACAAAUGAUGAAGAUAGAGUUAAAGACUCUAGGGACCCACGUGAAGAUAACGAAUAUACGAGUAGAACCGAUUUUAAUUGGUAAAGUUAAAGCCAUGCAAGCUACAUACUCAGAGCUGAUGAAUGUGAAGAAGAAGGUUCAAGAGGGCGUUAUUCUAGAAGUAAGAAUCGAUAAAGAGAGGAAAUCUCAACCCUCGAUUUAAUUGGCCCAUUUGAAAUCCUCAGAACUGUGGUCUAUAGACUCGUUUUACCGCCAAAAAUGUCGCAUGUUUAUAACGUUUAUAACGUAUCGAUGUUACGUAAAUAUGUGGACGACCCGAACCACAUUAUUGAGUUAGAACCGGAUGAAAUAGCAGAAGACUUAACGUAUGAAGAUGUACCUGUUAAAAUCUUGGAUAAAAAGAAUCGUAUUCAACACUCAAGGGUUAUACCUCAAGAGUUAGAAUCUGAAAUGAAGUCAAGGUGUCCUCACCUGUUCGGCAUACCAGGUACGUACGUAAAUUUUGAGGGCGAAUGUGACGCCCCCAAAAUAGGUAUACAACACCCAUUCUGAGUCGCCAUAAUACAUGGUACAAAAAGAAAACUACAACUUCACUAUUACAAUUGUCGUGCAAAAUAUGAUAACACAUACUGUGAGUUUAAAUACAACUAUUGUCUUCUAGACAAUAUCCACAACCAAAUAAGUCCUCAAUAUAUUUAUUAAUACACUAUUUUACAAAAUAGUGAGGACUACUAAAAUAACUAUCUUGAAUCAUCACUCUAUACCCCGGUUAGUCCCUGCUAUAUUCUCACCUCCUAAGAAGAAAAAUGGAACAACAAGAAAAAGGGUGAGCUCAACUAGCCCAGUAAAGAAUAUUAUGACUAAGAUAAUAUACAACAAAUUAUCAUUAGUCCUCAACAAGGAAAAAUCUGAUAGAAUAUAAUAGACAACAAGUUUAGAUCAGCAAAUGCAGCGGAAACAGCAAUCCAUUAGAAGAGUAACGUAGAGAAUGAGUUCUACUAUCUUCUAACAUUUAAAAGUCCAUCAUCAAUGUUUUAUCCCUGUAACAACAAUCAAUAUUCAUCUUUGCACUACAGGCCAAAGAUAUUCAUUUAUAUCACCAGUCGGUCAUGUUCAUCUCAACACCUGUUCAUCUUUGCACUAUGGGCCAAAGAUAUUCAUCAGUUAAUCAUUCAUCUUUGCACUACAGACCAAAGAUAUUCAUUAGUAUCGUUAUUUAGGACUGAGGAUGAGGAAAAAUAUUUUAAAAGAAACGAAUCCAGUGAAACAAAAAUAUUAGGGAUUCGUAUUUCAGUAUAUCCAAAUUCAAUAAUACUCUAUAAUAACCAAAUAUGAAGCAGAAUUCCAAAAAUAAAGACCAAAACAUGGAUACAAUCAAAGAUAGUACCCAUAAUAGAUAUUUUGGACAAAAAGGAAAAAAUUUAUUUUUCGGUGAAUAGUGUCGUAUUCGUGAAUAGUGUCGUAUACGUGAAUAGUGCCGUAUACGUGAAUAGUAACCCCGACACAACAAGUUCCAAAUUUGAUAAAAAGUUCAACCAAUAUUUUGGCAUAAUGAUAUUGAAGAAAAUAAUAUCAUUUGCGAAAGAAAUAACAUCCCUUACCUUAAAGAAACCGUACUUCGGACUGAAUUUCAGGUAUAAAGCUGACAGAAACUUGAACGGAAUAGCAACUCUCAAAGUAUCAAAAUACUCACUAAAAUACGCUCGACAAUAUAGAGAGAAAGAAAACUUGUUUCUGGUGUGAUUUUCAAUUCUAACUUAGCCAUCUAUUUAUAGGAAAAUGUUAGAACGCCAAAGGAGACUAAAUAAUAAAAUAAUAUUAUUAUUAAUUAUCAUUCCUACGCAUGCUUUGAAUUUUUGAGCAGCCAUGUUGGAAGAAUUCAGCAGCCCAUGUUAGUAUUCUACCAACCAAAAGUGGGUCCCACCCCAUUUUUAUUAAAAAAUUAUUUUAUUUUCUGAAACUUCAACAAUUCAUAGAAAAUAGCCCGUUUAUUAGAAAAAUACAAAUUUUAUGUCUAUUCUACCUGAAAUCGAAUUCUCUACAACUUUACAGAAGAAAGUUUUUCCAAAUUCCAGACCAAAAAUAUCCGAAAUCCACAAACGGAUGAUUUUAAACACAGUUUUAACACCUUUUGAAAUUCAUAACAAAUCAUGCGUUAAUUUUCAACGGUUCAAAAUUUGUGGAUAUAUUCUCAACUCAUAUAUGUAUAACAUAUCCAAAAAUCACAACGAUCCAACGGUCGGAUUAAAAUUAUAAGUCAUGCAAUAGAGCUUUAAGAACACCGAAAUCCGACAAAAUACUGAUAAAACACCUCAACAUUAAUUCCUUUAAUUAUAACCACAUAAAUAAAUCCAUUAUUUAUAUCCACAUCAAAUAAAUAUUUUCUUAUCAUAUAAAUCAAUAAUUAAUUAUUCACAAAUAAUAUUACAGAAUCACAAUAAUGACAAUCAGGCAGUUCCCAGGAAAGAGGGGGCCUUUCGGUAAGGAUUUCUCCUUACUGACGCGCAAUUAAAUAACCUCUACUUAGACAAAGCUUUCUAGACAUUGCCAAUAAUGCUAUCUAAUAAUAUUAUUCAAAUAAUAUGAAUUAUUGAUCUGAUAAUGGAAAUACUGUGCAGUGACAAUUAUUGAACAACAAUAAUAUAAAAUAUCAACGCAGCAAUUAUUGAACCAAUAAAAUAAAAUAUUGAACAGUAACUCCUAUAGCAAUUAUUGAGUAGUGCCUUCUUACGUACGAAUCAAUAAUUCAACAAUAUUGUGCAAUACCGUGUGCUACUGUGCAACAACGUGUAUUACUGUAUUUUAACCACCAGGUAAUCCAACAGUGUUAACGGUAACAAUUUAUGCCGUUAUUUAUAAAACUCCAUCUUUGUCGUUUUCUUUCAUCUAAUCGUUUUUCGUUAUGGGGCCCACAAAUAGCUGCGCCGUCGUACGAAUAUUCCCCGACAGCAAGAAUAUUCCACGACCAAACGAAUAUUUCCCGACAAAAAUGAAUAUUUUAAUAACCACUUGUUUAUUUUACAAAAUUUGCACAUUUCACUCAUAACCAAAGCAUUAUAUCAAAUUACCACCUUAUUAAUCAAGAAUAAUAAUUAGAGGAAAUUCGAUUUUAUUUAUAAAAAGUUGGGGUCUUACAGUGAAAUUCUAUAAGGAGGGGAGAUUAUGAAACCCCAGAUUUUAUGAAUAAAGAUUUAAUUUUCUCAAAAUAAUUUUUUUAUAUUAUGGUGUGGAUUUAAUAUAAUGUUAUAGUUGUGGAUAAUAUUUAUAAAUUUUGUAAAGUAAGCAAGUUUUUAUAUAAUAUUCGAUUGGUCGGGAAAUAUUCUUUUUAUCGGGGAAUAUCCGUACGAUGGUACAAUCCUUGGUGGAUCCCACAACGGAAUUAUUUUUGGAUUGAGAAAAUGACAAAAAUAUUUUUUAUGAAAAUAACGACGGAAGUUUUACCGUUGAUACUGUUGAACUACUCGGUAGUAAAAGUACAGUAAUACGCGUGGUUGCAUAGUAGCACAUGGUAUUAAUUAUUAAUAUUUACGUGAGAAGUCACUCAGUUUUGUUCAAUUAUUGCUACAGUAGUUUCUGCAUAGUAUCUCACGUUAUUUGAUUCAAUUAUUGUUGAUUUAUAAGUUUUGUUUUAUUAGUAUUAUUAACGUAAUAAAACAGAAAAACUUUUUAUAUAAAACAGAAUACUUUUAUAAAGUUAUUCGUUUUAUUAGGCUAAUAGUAAAAUCUUUUUAUAUAAAACAGAAUACUUUUAUAAAGUUAUUCGUUUUAUUAGACAAUAAUUAGAAUAUAUUAUAUUUUAUUAUGCAUAGUAUUUGCAUAGUGCCUGCAUAGUGUUUGCAUAGUAAAAUCUUUUUAAAAGUUAUUCGUUUUAUUAGAUUAUAAAUAGAAUAUAUUAUAUUUUAUUUAAAAGAUUUUGCUUUAAAUAUGGACCGUCAGAUUAAAGUAAAUCAAUCUGGACCGUUCAUGAGUUAGUUACUAUGCAAUCCAUUUUUCUAUAAAUAGAAGCUCAUUCCUUCAUUAUUUUCUUACGAAUUCACUGAAACUCUAGAGAGAGAAAACUAUAGAGAGAAAGAAGAAAAGUAUUAUGCUACCUCCCUACUCUUAUAACCAGUUUCUUUUACGGUAAGGGAUAUUAUUUGUUGUACACGUAAGGGGUGUUAUGCUUUCUUAUUCAUGAAGAGAACUUCGGUUAUUCCAUUCUUUAUUAUUCUGUUGGAAUAACCUGUAUACGCGGCAUACCCUAUGCAUAACCUGUAUAAGCGGCAUACCCUGUACUUGGUGAAAUCCUUAUAUUAUUCCUUCUUUAUAUUCUGUCGGAAUAUCCUGUCGAUGUGAAUUUCACCUGACCUGGUUCCAUUAUUUAUUAUUCCGCAUUUAAUAUCCUAUCGGAAUAUCCCGUCGGUGUGAAUUUCACCUGACCUGGUUCCAUUAUUUAUUAUUCCGCAUUUAAUAUUCUGUCGGAAUAUCCUGUCGCUGUGAAUUUCACCUGACCUGGUUCCAUUAUUUAUUAUUUUGUGUUUAUUGUUCUGUUGGAAUAACCUGUCUAUGGGAAGUACCGCAUGUAUGGUGAUUUCUGUUGUUAUUCCAUUCUUUAUUAUUCUGUUGGAAUAACCUGUCUAUGUGAAGUACCGCAUGCAUGGUGAUUUCUGUUGUUAUUCCAUUCUUUAUUAUUCUGUUGGAAUAACCUGUCUAUGUGAAGUACCGCAUGCAUGGUGAUUUCUGUUGUUAUUCCAUUCUUUAUUAUUCUGUUGGAAUAACCUGUCGGUGCAAAGUACCGCAUGAAUGGUGAUUUCUGUUGUUAUUCCAUUCUUUAUUAUACUCAGUUGGUUAAAGUUUUGACUUCUAUACUCCAUGAAAUUAGUGGAAUAUCUUUGAUAUUUGUGCUUCAUCCAAUAUCGUUUCAUGGAAAUAUUUUUCUGAGCAUUCUUAAAUUUUACACCACAAAACAGUAUCUUGUUAACAAUUUGGACGUUAUUGGUUCCUAGAUAAAUUAAUUCUUGAAGUUCUUUUAUUAAAUUAUUAUAUUAUUGUCAUCAUCCUCAUGAUUAUAUUAUGUUGAAAGUCAUCUGUGGCCUGUAGUGCAUAGAUGGACUUGGUCAUGACCGUAGUGUUACAAAUGAUGUGGUAAAAGUAAUCUGUGGCCUGUAGUGCAUAAAUGGACUUGGUGUGAUUAUGACCAGGGAUUAUUCAAUAUAAUUAUAACCGUAAUGUUACAUAUGAUGUGAAAAAAAGUCUUCAUUUUCCCGUAAUGCAUUGAUGGACAAUUUUUGGUAUGAUCAUGACUAUGGAUUCUCUUCGGCCAUUGGAGCAAAGAUGAAUUAUUUUAUGGCAUGAUCAGGACCAUUGAUGAAUACACGAAUAUCCUUGGCCCGUAGUGCUUGGAUAAUUUGUGGUCGUGAUACUAAAGAAUAUCCUUGGCCGUAGUAUAGGGGUGAUUCGAUGAUGUGAAUUAUUUAUUAAGCCGAGUCCCAGCGAUAAAAAUGAUGAAAACCCUUUUAAAUCAUAAAAGAUAGUAGAUUUUAUUCUCUACUUGACUCUUUUAAUGGAUUGUUUGUUCCGCUGCAGUUAAACUUGAUGUCUAUUGUAUUUUAUCAGUUUAACAUUGUUGAAGGCUAAUGAUAAUUUAUCCUGCAUUAUCUUAGUCAUAAUAUUUCUUACUAGGCUAGUUGAUGUGACGCCCCCAAAAUAGGUCCAUUCCAUCCAACCCAUUCUGAGUCGUCAAAUACAUGAUACAGAAACAACUACAACUUUAUUAAUACAUUUGUUGUGAAAAAAAUACGACAACAUAUAUACUGUGAGUUUAAAUACAAUUAUUGUCUUCUAGACAAUAUCCAUACCCAAAUAAAUCCUCAUCAUAAAUAUUGAUACAUUAUUUUAUAAAAAUGGUGAGGACUACUAAGACAACUUUCUAGAACCAUCAUUCCACACCCCGACUCGUACUCGCUACAUUCUCACCGAUUGAGAAGAAAAAUGGAACAACAAGGAAAAGGGUGAGCUCAACUAGCCCAGUAAAGAAUAUUAUGACUAAGAUAAUAUAGAACAAAUUAUCGUUAGUCCUCAACAGGGAAAAAUCUAAUAGAAUACAAUAGACAACAAAUUUCAGAUCAAUAUUUGCAGCGGAAAAUAAUAAUUCAUAGAAUAGUUACGUAGAGAAUGAAAUCUACUAGUAUCUAUGAAUUUAAAAGUCCAUCAUCAAUAUUUUAUCCUUGUAACAUCAAUCAAUAUACAUCUUCAAUCAAAUAUUCAUCUUUGCACUACGGGCCAAAGAUAUUUAUAAGAAAAUCAACCAUCUUUGUACUACAGGUCAAAGAUAUUCAGUAACAUCAUCAUUUAGGACUGAGGACGAUGAAAAAUAAUUUUAAAAAAACGAAUCCAAUGAAACAAAAGACAAGAAUUAAGGAUUAAGGAUUCGUAAUUCGGUUUAUCCAUGUCCAAAAAUACCUCAAAAAUAAUCAUAGUGGAGUAAAAUUCAAGAAUGAUCAAAACAUGAAUACAAUCAAAGUUAGUAUCCAUAAUAGAUUUUUUGGACAAAAACGAAAAUUUAACUUUUCUGUGAAUAGUGCCGUAUAUGAUGCCCCCAGAAUUAGGUAUACGUCACCCAUCUUGGGUCGCCACUUACAUGGUACAUAAAUCAAAUACAAACUAACUAUACAACAGUCGUGUAAGAUACGACAAAAUACAUGUUGUGAGUUUUAACUCGAAUAUUGCCAUCUAGACAGUAUUCAAACACAAAUAAGUCCUCAUUACAUUUAUUGUCACACUAUUUAACAUAAUGGUGAGGACUACUAAUGCUAUCAUCUGGACUGUCACUCCGUUCCCCGACUCAUCACUGCUAUAUUCUCAUUUCCUGAAGAGAACAGUGAAAGAAAGGGUGAGCUCAACUAGCCCAAUAAGAAAUAUUAUGACUAAGAUAAUGCAGAAUAAAUUAUCAUUAGUCUUCAACAAUGUUAAACUGAUACAAUAUAACAAAAAUCAAGUUUAACUGCAGCGGAACAAGCAAUCCAUUAGAAGAGUCAAGUAGAGAAUAAAACCUACUAUCUUCUAUGAUUUAAAAAUGUUUUCAUCAACUUUUAUCGCUAAGACUCAGCUUAAUAAAUAAACCACAUCAUCGAAUCAUCCUUGCACUACGGGCCAAGGAUAUUCAUUAAAUCAUCAACGGUCAUAACUAUACCGAAUAAUCCCUGGUCAUAAUCAUAUCAAAAACUGUCCAUCAAUGUAUUAUAGGCCACUGAGGACUUUUACCACAUCACUUGUAACAUUAUGGUCAUGAUUAUACCGAAUAAUCCCUGAUCAUAAUCAUACCAAGUCCAUCCAUGCACUACAGGCCACAGAUGACUUUCAACAUAAUAUAAACAUGAGUAUGAUGACAAUGAUAUAAGAAUUCAAUAAAACAACUUCACGAAUUAAUUUGUCCUGGAACUAAUAAUGUCCAAUUUGUCAACAAGAUAUUGUUUUGUGGUGUAAAAUUCAUGAAUGCUCAGAAGAAUAUUUCCAUGAAACGAUACUGGAUGAAGUACAAAUAUCAAGGAUAUUCCACUACUUUCAUGGAGUAUAGAAGUCAAAACUUUAACCAACUGAGUAUUAACGAAUGUAAUAACAACAGAAAUCACCAUGCAUGCGGUACUUCGCAUAGACAGGUUAUUCUAAUAGAAUAAUAAAGAAUGGAAUAACAACAGAAAUCACCAUGCAUGCGGUACUUCGCAUAGACAGGUUAUUCCAACAGAAUAAUAAAUACGAAAUAAUAAGUAAUGGAACCAGGUCAGGUGAAAUUCACACCGACAGGAUAUUCCGACAGAAUAAUAAAUGCGGAAUAAUAAAUAUUGGAACCAGGUCAGGUGAAAUUCACACCGACAGGAUAUUCCGACAGAAUAUUAAAUGACGGAAUAAUAUAAGGAUUUCACCAAGUACAUGGUAUGCCACGUAUAUAGGUUAUGUAUAGGGUAUGCCACUUUUAUAGGUUAUUCCAACAGAAUAAUAAAGAAUGGAAUAACAUAAGGAUUUCACCAAGUAUAGGGUAUGCCACGUAUACAGGUUAUGUAUAGGGUAUGCCACUUUUACAGGUUAUUCCAACAGAAUAAUAAAGAAUGGAAUAACAGAAGUUCUCUUCAAGAAGAAAUAAUAACACCCCUUACCGUAAAAGAACUAGAUAUAAGAGUAGUGAAGUAGCAGAAUAUUCUUCUUCUUUCUCUCUAUAAUUUUCUCUCUCUAGAGUUCAGUGAAUUCGUAAGAAAAUAAUGAAGGAAUGAACUUCUAUUUAUAGAAGAAUGAAAUGAAUAGUAACUUAUUCAUGAACGGUCCAGAUCGAUUUACUUUUAAACGGACGGUUCAUAUUAAAACUUAAAGCAACGGUCCAUACUGAUUCACUAUUAAAACUUUUAAACCAGCAAUCCAUAUUGAUUUACUAUUAAAACUUUAAACCAGCGAUCCAUAUUGAUUCACUAUUAUAACUUUCCACCAGCGGUCCAUAUUAAUUCAUUCAACCAACGGUCUGAAAAAUUAGCAUAUCUCCUCAUGGAAUAAUAUUGUACCCAAAUACCCGAAUGUACAACACUAUUGUGAAUAGUAACUCGUGAAUAGUAACUCGUGAAUAGUAACUCAUGAAUAGUAACUCGUGAAUAGUAACUCUGACACAAAAAAUGUCCCAAAUACUCGAGUGAACAAUAUUAGAGUGAAUAGUAAUUUCGGUGAAUAGUAACCCGUGAAUAGUAACUCGUGAAUAGUAACUCCGACACAAAAAAUGUCCUAAAUACUCGAGUGAACAAUACUAGAGUGAAUAGUAAUUUCGGUGAAUAGUAACCCAUGAAUAGUAACUCCGACACAAAAGUGUCCCAAAUACUCUCCAGACCUCAAUUAUUGAUUUAACAAUAUAACAAAUAAUGCAGAUGAUACCGUGACAAUAAUCGAAUCAAUAAUAUGAGAGAUAUGAUGCAGCAAUUACUGUAGCAAUAAUUGAGUAUAACUAAGUGACUUAUCACGUAAGCAUCAAUAAUCAAUAUCGUGUGCUACUAUGUAACCACGCGUAUUACUGUACUUUUACUACCGGGUAGUUCAACAGUAUUAACGGUAAAACUUCCGCCGUUAUUUUUAUAAAAAUAUAUUUGUCGUUUUCUAAAUACCAUAAUUCUUCCGUUGUGGGUCCACCAAUGAUUGUGUCGUCGUACGAAUAUUCCCCGACAAAAAGAAUAUUCCCCGACCAAUCGAAUAAUUAUAAGACAACUUGCGUACUUUGCAAAAUUUUCAAAUACUACCCACAACUAUAAUAUUAUUUCAAAUUCAUACCUUAAUAUUUAAAAAAAAUAUUUCGAGAAAUUUAAAUCUUUAUUUAUAAAAUCUGGGGUCUCACACCGUAUUCGUGAAUAGUGUCGUAUACGUGAAUAGUGACGUAUACGUAAAUAGUAACCCCGACACCAAAAGUUUCAAAUUUGAUAAAAACUUCAGAUCAAUAUUUUGGCAUAAUGAUAUUGAAAGAAUAACAAUAUUACGGAAAAAAAUAACAUCCCUUACCUCAGAAAGAAUAGUACUUCUGACUAGAAUACUGGAUAUAGUGCUGAAAGAACUUGCACCGUAUAGCAAUACUCAAAGUACUAAAAUACUCACAAAAUACGCUUGAUAUUAUAGAGAGAGAAAGAGAGAGAAAAUUUUAGUUUCUGAUGUAAUUUUCAAUUCUAACAUAGGCACCCUAUUUAUAGGAAAAUGCUUAGAACACCAAAACAGAAAAUUUAAUAAAUUAAUAUUAAUUAUUUUCCACAUCUUCAUACGCUUCCAUGAAUCUGAACUCAGCCAUCCUAACACAUGUUAAAGAUGCCCACCAAACACAAAAAACGUUUUUCUUAUUUAAAUUAUUUUAAACUUCCAAAAAUUAAUUAUUUCGGAGCUUCGAAACUUUAGUAAUUCAUAAUAAAUAGCCCUUUUGUCAGAAAAUUCGAAUCUCGCGAAUUUUUAUAGGAAAUUCAAUUAUCUACAACUUUGCAGAAGAAAGUUUUUCCAAAUUCCAAACAUAAAUUGACCAAAAUCCACAAACGGACGAUUUUACAGGCUAUAAUCAAAUUUCAGUCAAGAAAUGGGGUCCACCGACACAUAAAAUAUGCUUUAAAUAUUUUUUGGUAACAAAAAUACUCCUCCUCCACAUAUACUCAUAUAUCCCACAUUCACUGUAAAAAUAUCACCAUUAUUAUAUUAUUAAAAUAAUAUAUUCAAAUGAAUUAUUUUACCAGAAAAGAUAAAAUAUUAAUUUUCAACAAUUGUCACAUUUAAAAAUUUUCUCCAUCUAUAUCCACAUAAAAUCAAUAUUUUCAUCAUCAUAUAAAUCAAUAAUUAAUUAUUCACAAAUAAUAUUACAGAAUCACAAUAUUGACAACCAGGCAGUUCCCAGAAAAGAGGGGGCCUUCCGGUAAAGAUUUUUCCUUACUGGCGCGCAAUUCAAUAACCUCUCAUUAGACAGAACUUUCUAGACAUUGCCAAUAAUGUUAUCUAAUAAUAUUAUUCAGAUAAUAUGAAUUAUUGCUCCGAUAAUGAAAAAUACUAUGUAGUGACAAUUAUUGAAACAACAGUAAUAAUAAAUAUCAAUGCAGCAAUUAUUGAAUCAAUAAAAUAAAAUACUGAACAGUAAUUACUUUAACAAUUAUUGAGUAGUGCCUUCCUACGUAAGAAUCAAUAAUUGGUGCAAUACUGUGUGCUACUGUGCAACAACGCGUAUUAUUGUGUUUUAACCACCGGGUAUUCCAACAGUUUUAACGGUAACAAUUACGCCGUCAUUUAUAACCAACUUAUUCUUGUCAUUUUCUUCAUCUAAUCGCUUUCUGUUAUGGGGCCCACACAAGGCUGCGCCGUCAUACGAAUAUUCCCCGACAGUAAGAAUAUUCUACGACCAAACGAAUAUUCCCCGAUAAAGAUGAAUAUUUUAUAACCACUUGCUUAUUUGAAAUAUUUGCGCAUUUUACCCAUAACUAACCACAUUAAUCAAAUCAACCCUUACUAUGUCAAAAUAAUAAAUAGAGGAAAUUCCAUUUUCAUUUAAAAAAAAAUUCGGGGUCUUACAGUUGAGCUCACCCUUUCUUUCACUGUUCUUUUUAGAAAAUGAGAACGUAGCAGGGACUAGUCGGGGAAUGGAGUGAUGGUCUAGAUGAUAGCAUUAGUAGUCCUCACUAUUCUGUGAAAUAGUGUGAUAAUAAUUGUAAUGAGGACUCCAUUGUGUUUGAAUACUGUCUAAAAGACAAUAUUCGUUUCAAAGUUCUCAGCUAUGUUUUGUCGUAUGUUACACGACAGUUGUAUAAUUAAGUUUGUAUUUGAUUUAUGUACCAUGUAUUUGGCGACUCAGAAUAGGUGAUGUAUACCUAUUUUGGGGGCGUCACAGUUGGUAUCAGAGCUUAGGGAUAUGGUCGCUGGCGGAGAUAAGAAUCUAGAACUAGGAGGGGAGAGAUGAGUUAUAUACUUCGCUAGUGUGUGACUUACCUAAGCUAAAAUUGUUUACUUCAUAAGUUGACAAAUUAUUUUAUGUCAAUUAACCUUUGUUUUGAAGCUAUAUUCUAGAAUGAUAUCUGAAAUACAGGAGAUGAGAAAUGGGAAAAUCAUGAUAGCGAGGAAAUUACCGGGAAUGUACAAUCCGAAAAGAAAGCAAGGUAUUCUCAUCUCUUCGAAAAUCAGGUACGUACGUAAAUUUUGAGGGCGAAAUUUCAUAAGGAGGGGAGAUUGUGAGACCCCAAAUUUUAUGAAAUAAAAGUAUUCAAUUUUUUUAUUUUGGUAAAUAAUUAAAUUGAUAAAAGGUUAAAGUUAAGGGUGAUAUGUGAAAAUUUUUCAAAGUAAAUAAGUUGUCAUAAGAUACUUGGUCACUAUUCACCCAAAUUACUAUUCACUCUAGUAUUGUUCACUCGAGUAUUUGGGAUACUUUUUGUGUCAGAGUUACUAUUCACGAGUUACUAUUCACGGGUUACUAUUUACCCAAAUUACUAUUCACUCUAGUAUUGUUCACUCGAGUAUUUGGGACACUUUUUGUAUCGGAGUUACUAUUCACGAGUUACUAUUCAUCGAAAUUACUAUUCACUAUAGUAUUGUUCACUCGAGUAUUUGGGACACUUUUUGUGUCGGAGUUACUAUUCAUGAGUUACUAUUCAUGAGUUACUAUUCAUGAGUUACUAUUCACGAGUUACUAUUCAUGAGUUACUAUUCGCCUGAUUACUAAUCACUCUAGUAUUGUGCAUUCGGGUAUUUGGAUACAAUAUUAUUUCAUGAGGAGAUGUGCUAAUUUUUCAGACCGUUGGUUGAACUUAUAAUAGUGAAUCAAUAUGGACCGCUGGUGGAAAGUUAUAAUAGUGAAUCAAUAUGGACCGCUGGUGAAAAAGUUAUAAUAGUGAAUCAAUAUGGAUCGCUGGUUUAAAGUUUUAAUAGUGAAUCAGUAUGGACCGUUGCUUUAAGUUUUAAUAUGGACCGUCCGUUUAAAAGUAAAUCGAUAUGGACCGAUCAUGAAUUAGUUAAUAUUCAUUUCUUCUAUAAAUAGAAGCUCAUUCCUUCAUUAUUUUCUUACGAAUUCACUGAAACUCUAGAGAGAGAAAUUAUAGAGAGAAAGAACAAGAGUAUUCUGCUACUUCACUACUUCUAUUUUCAGUUUCUUUUAUGGUAAGGGAUAUCAUUAUUGUGUAAGGGAUAGUAUUAUUAUAGUAAGGGAUAUCAUUAUUGUGUAAGGGAUAUUAUUUGUUGUACCCAUAAGGGGUGUUAUUCUUUAAUAUUCAUGAAGAGAACUUCGGUUAUUCCAUUCUUUAUUAUUCUGUUGGAAUAACCUGUAUAUGCGGUAUACCCUAUACAUAACCUGUAUAAGUGGCAUACCCUUUACUUGGUGAAAUCCUUAUGUUAUUCCAUUCUUUAUUAUUCUGUUGGAAUAACCUGUAUACGCGGCAUACCCUAUACAUGGUGAAGUCCUUAUGUUAUUCCAUUCUUUAUUAUUCUGUUGGAAUAACCUGUAUACGCGGCANNNNNNNNNNNNNNNNNNNNNNNNNNNNNNNNNNNNNNNNNNNNNNNNNNNNNNNNNNNNNNNNNNNNNNNNNNNNNNNNNNNNNNNNNNNNNNNNNNNNUGGACCGUUGCUUUAAGUUUUAAUAGUAAAUCGAUCUGGAUCGUUCGUUUAAAAGUAAAUCGAUCUGGACCGUUCAGGAAUUAGUUACUAUUCAAUCCAUUCUUCUAUAAAUAGAAGCUCAUUCCUUCAUUAUUUCUUACGAAUUCACUGAAACUCUAGAGAGAGAAAUUAUAGAGAGAAAGAAGAAGAGUAUUCUACUACUUCACUACUUCUAUAUCCAGUUUCUUUUACGGUAAGGGGUGUUAUUCUUUCUUAUUAAUGAAGAGAACUUCUGUUAUUCCAUUCUUUAUUAUUCUGUUGGAAUAACCUGUAUACGUGGCAUACCCUGUACAUAACCUGUAUAAGUGGCAUACCCUAUACUUGGUGAAAUCCUUAUGUUGUUCCAUUCUUUAUUAUUCUGUUGGAAUAACCUGUAUCCGUGGCAUACCCUGUACAUAACUUAUAUAAGUGGCAUACCCUAUACUUGGUGAAAUCCUUAUGUUAUUCCAUUCUUUAUUAUUCUGUUGGAAUAACCUGUAUACGCGGCAUACCCUAUACAUGGUGAAGUCCUUAUGUUAUUCCAUUCUUUAUUAUUCUGUUGGAAUAACCUGUAUACGCGGCAAACCCUAUACAUGGUGAAGUCCUUAUGUUAUUUCAUUCUUUAUUAUUCUGUUGGAAUAACCUGUAUACGCGGCAUACUUGGUGAAAUCCUUAUGUUAUUCCAGUCUUUAUUAUUCUGUUGGAAUAACAUGUAUACGCGGCAUACCCUAUACAUAACCUGUAUAAGUGGCAUACCCUAUACUUGGUGAAAUCCCUCUGUUGUUCCAUUAUGUAUUAUUAUGUUGGAAUAGCCUGUUUAUGCGAAGUACCGCAUACGUGGUGAAAUUCUUCUAUUAUUCCAUUCUAUAUUAUUAUGUUGGAAUAACCUGUUUAUGCGAAGUACCGUAUACAUGGUGAGAUUCUGCUAUUAUUUCGUUCUUUAUUAUUCUGUCGGAAUAUCCUGUCGGUGCGAAUUUCACCUGACCUGGUUCCAUUUAUUAUUCUGUUGGAAUAACCUAUAUACGCGGAUUACCGUAUACCUGGUGAUGUCUAUUGUUAUUCCAUUCUUUAUUAUUCUGUUAAGAAUAACCUGUCGGUGCGAUCUAUCGCAUGCAUGGUGAUUUCUUCUGUUAUUCCAUUCUUUAUUAUUCUGUUGGAAUAACCUGUCUAUGUGGAGUACCACAUGCCUGGUGAAUGAUCCUUUGUAUUCAUUCCUUAUUAAAUUGUGGAAAUGAUCUGUAUACGUGGAUUACCGCAUGGCGAACGAAAAUCCAUUUGCAGUUUCAUAUAUUCUCUUAUACUAAGUUGAUUAAAGCUUUAACUUCUAUACUCCAUGAAAUUAGUGGAAUAUCCUUGAUAUUUGCGCUUCAUCCAGUAUCUUUUCAUGAAAAUAUUCUUCUGAGCAUUCUUGAAUUUUACACCACAAAACAGUAUCUUGUUGACAAUUUGGACGUUAUUAGUUCCUGAACAAAUUAAUUCUUGAAGUUGUUUUAUUGAAUUCUUAUAUCAUUGUCAUCAUACUCAUAUUUAUAUUUUUUUUGAAAGUCAUCUGUGGCCUAUAGUGCAUAGAUGGACUUGGUAUGAUUAUGACCAGGGAUUAUUCGGUAUAAUCAUGACCGUAAUGUUACAAAUGAUGUGGUAAAAGUCAUCUGUGGCCUGUAGUGCAUAGAUGGACUUGGUGUAAUUAUGACCAGGGAUUAUUCGGUAUAAUCAUAAUCGUAAUGUUACAUAUGAUAUGAAAAAAAAAUUUCAUUGGCCCGUAAUGCAUUGAUGGACAAUUUUUGGUAUGAUCAUGGCUAUUGAUUCUCUUCGGCCAUUGGAGCAAAGAUAAAUUAUUUUAUGGCAUGAUCAGGACCAUUGAUGAAUGCACGAAUAUCUUUGGCCCGUAGUGCAUGGAUAAUUUGUGGUCGUAAUACUAAAGAAUAUCCUUGGCCGUAGUGCAAGGGUGAUUCGAUGAUGUGGAUUAUUUAUUAAGCUGAGUCCCAGCGAUAAAAAUGAUGAAAAACCUUUUAAAUCAUAAAAGAUAGUAGAUUUUAUUCUCUACUUGACUCUUUUAAUGGAUUGUUUGUUUCGCUGCAGUUAAACUUGAUGUCUAUUGUAUUUUAUCAGUUUAACAUUGUUAAAGGCUAAUGAUAAUUUAUCCUGCAUUAUCUUAGUCAUAAUAUUUCUUACUGGGCUAGUUGAGCUCACCCUUUCUUUCACUGUUCUCUUCAGGAAAUGAGAACGUAGCAGGGACUAGUCGGGGAACGGAGUGAUGGUCCAGAUGAUAGCAUUAGUAGUCCUCACUACUCUGUGAAAUAGUGUGAUAAUAAUUGUAAUGUGGACUCCAUUGUGUUUGAAUACUGUCUAGAAGACAAUAUUCGUUUCAAAGUUCUCAGUUAUGUUUUGUCGUAUGUUACACGACAGUUGUAUAAUUAAGUUUGUAUUUGAUUUAUGUAUCAUGUAUUUGACGACUCAGAAUAGGUAAUGUAUACCUAUUUUGGGGGCGUCACAGUUGAGGGGGCCCAAAAGUUUUUAUAAAAUUAUAUAUUUAUGUGUAUAAAAAAAUAAUAUAAUAAAAAGAUUAACGAUAUAAUACAUUAAAAAUGAUAUGUCAGAAAACAUUAAAUAUGAUAAUAUAAUUGAUGAUUUUGCAUCUAAAAGUGCAACAAGAAGAUAUUUUAAAUGAUAUUUUGUUGUUUUGAUUUCAUUGGCCAAAACUAAAGAAAUACCAACUGUAGUUGGUAGGUUUUACUGAUUAUACCAUUGAACUUUUAAUUUUUAAAAUUACACCACUAAACUAAUUAUUAUUUUAAAAUUGGGCUAUUUCGUUAAAAAAAUAAACGGACGUUAAUUUUUUAUCUACAAAACUAAUGAAUUACCCACUGUAGUUGACACAUUUUACUGAUUACACCAUUAAACUUUUAAUUUUUCAAAUUACCCCAUCAAACUAAUUAAAAAUAAUUAUUUUUAAUAUUUUUAAAAAUAAUUAUUAUUUUAAGUGAAAAAUAUUAGAAACUUUUUUUUUCUUCAUAAAAUGAGUAGAGUUUCAUAAAAUAUAGAUUCAAACAAAUUAAAGUGAUUUUAAAUUAAAUUAAUGUCUACUUAAUUUUUUAACAGAAUGACCCAUUCUUAAUAUUAGAAUUUUUUAAAAAAAAACUAAAAAUAGAAAUUAAAAUAAAAAAACCAGUAAAUGAUAAAUAAAAAAUUUGAUUCAAUUUUUCAAAAUAUAAAAUAAUAGUUUUUAUAAAUAAAUAUUAUUUUCAAGAAAAAAAUUGGAAAAUUCUUCAUAUUUUAAAAGAAUGAGUAAAAUUUUAUUAAAUAUAGAUUCAAAAAAAUAAACUUUAUUUUUCAAAAGAAAAAAAGAGAUUUUUUUUUAAAAUCAGUAACGUUUCAUAAAACUUUAAUUUUUUUAAAUCUAUAUUUUAUGAAACUUUACUCAUUUUAUGGGUAAAAAAUUAAAGUUUCUAAUAUUUUUUACUAAAAAUAAUAAUUAUUUUUUACUAAAAAUAAUAAUUAUUUUUAAAAAUAUUUAAAAUAAUUAUUUUUAAUUAGUUUAAUGGGAUAAUUUAAAAAAUUAAAAGUUCAAUGGUGUAAUCAGUAAAGCGUACCAACUACAAUGUGUAAUUCAUUAGUUUUAUAGAUAAAAAAUUAACGUCCAAUUAUUUUUUUAACGGAAUAACCCAAUUUCAAAAUAAUAAUUAGUUUAGUGGGGUAAUUUGAAAAAUUAAAAGUUCUAUUGUGUAAUCAGUAAAACUUGCCAACUAUAGUGGGUAUUUCAUUAGUUUUACUGAUUUCAUUGAUAUUUUUAUUUUGUAGGUACAUGUAAUGAUUCUUUGCUUCGAUGACAUUUUAAAAUGUUCUUCCUUAUCUUUUAUAAAUUCUUAUAAUUUUAAUAAAAAAAAUUAGUUGAUAAUUUAUUUAUUUUAUAAUUUAAUUUAUAUAAAGGGCACAUUUGAAAAAAUUUGUUAUGAGCUUUAGAAAACCGAGGACCGACUCUGAUAAUAAGUUCGACUUUAUCUGAUAUAAAAGCAUAGCGGCAGGUUUGAUAAUAACAAAAGCUAGCCAUGGAUUUUGAUAGUAGUAUUAUUUCAAGAAUAAGUCUGGGCGGACAUGGAAAUGGGUAGGAGUGAGCAAAAAACGGAUAAAACCGAAAUACCGAACCGAACCGAAAUUUUUUAACCGAAUUAUUUCGGUUUUUCGGUUUUUUUUACAAUUUCGGUUAUAUCUGAAUUAUUAUUCACUAUUCGGUUUGGAAAAACAGGUUAUUCGGGUAUCCGAAUAACCGAACCUUACUUAUUAAAAAAAUUAAUUUUAUAAUAAUAUAAUAAUAAUAAUAAUAAUAAUAAUAAUAAUAAUAAUAAUAAUAACAAUAAUAAUAAUAAUAAUAAUAAUAAUAAUAAUAAUAAUAAUAAUAAUAAUAAUAAUAACAGUAAUUCGGUUUUUUCCCGAAUUACCGAAAUUACAAUUCGGUAAUUCGGUUAUUGUUAAAUUUCGGUUAUUAGUUCGGAUAGCAAAAUCAUCAUUAUUUCGGUUUUCGGUUAUAACCGAAUAGCUUAUUCGGUUCGGUUAUAACCGAAUGAUCACCCCUAGAAAUGGGACAGCUUUAUUGGACCGGUUUUUAAUUUAUUUAUUAUUAUUUUUUUUUGCUAGUGACUCUCAAAAAAUGUAUAGUAUUUAUUUCAAUAGGAAUUUUUAUAAAAUAUAAUGUUUUAGUCUGUAUAUUCCUGUAUUUGUAUAUGUAUCUAAAUUACACCUAAAAUAUUAUAUUUUAUAAAAAUUUCUGUUAAAAUAAAUACUAUAUAUUUUUUAAAAAUCACUAAAAAAAUAAAAAUAAAUUAAAAAUCGGUCCAAUAAAGAUGUCCCAUUUCCAUGUCUGCGUAGCAUUACUCUUCUUUCAAGGAUAGUGCUUACAUACGUAGACAAAAGUUCUGUAGAUAAAUAGAUAUGUAUUUGUGGGUGCCUACAAUCUGUCGACAGUUGUCUAGAUAUAUUUAAAUAAUUUUUGUUUGAAUGCAAUUAUUUUUAUUACACUCCCUGCGUCAUAAAGUCUGUUUUUUUAAAAUUUAAAAUUGAUGAGAUUUAUUUAGAUUUUUAUAAUAAUAAAUUAUUUUUAGCUAAAAUUAAAUUAACGGAAUGAUUAUUAUGUUGUAGUAGCAUAUAUUAUUAUUAGUACUUGCUCCUGUCCGAAGGCACAUGCGUAACGAAAUCAUUUUUCUCUCUCCAUGCCUCCCCCUCUCUCCGUUUUAGUUAAGAAUAUAAACGAACUGAGUCGAACCGAGUAUUAAAUUGCUCAAAUUUGAUUUAUAAAAUUUAUCGAGUAUAAAAUAAGAUUUGAUUGAGGCUCAUUUAACUACCGAGUUGAGCACGAUUCCGAAUCGAGCACGAUUUUGAAUCGAGCCCGAACAGUUUGAACUUUUCGAACGAAUAUGAUCCGAGUAUCAAUAGAAAAUUAUAAUUUGAGUAGGUUCGAAUAAUUUAUCGAAGUUUAAAAUUUGCUCAUAUUUGACUCAUUGAUAUUUCGAGUCGAACUCGAAUCGAACUUUUAGUCGAACGAGUAUAAAUCGAGCCUGAACUGUUUGCUCAUUUUACAACCGUAGUUUUAAUAAUCUGAAAAUUAGAAUGAAUCUAAACCAUUCUUAUAUAUUUCCGUCCAAAUCAAUUAGAAUAAAUUUAAACUAUUUUUAUGUUUUUUCGUCCAACUUCAAAUUGAGUUCCAAGUAGUAAGGUGUAAUUCCAUACGAGAUAUGUACGUAGCUCAAAAAAGGAAAACGUGUCUUUUCAAAUUUUGUGUAUCAAACUUUAUUAUCAAACCUGCUGUACGAAUAUUAUCAUCUUACUUAUUAAUUGUCACAAAAUAAAUUAUAUCUUUAACAAAUUCAAUUAUAUUAAGCAUUUAUAACUUUAAAAAAACGUAGUUAUAUCAUCAUAAUAUAUGUUGGGAAUUGUUAUUUUUAAAAGAGAAUUUUAAUAUUUUGACAAGAUUUUAAAUGCUAUUUAUGUUAGAGAAAAUUUAUAGAAUUAUCAAAUUUUUUUUUGAAAUAUCAAUUCCGUGUGUAACACAUUCUAGUCAUUGCCUCAGCCUCAGCGUCAGCGUCAGCGUGGUCGUCUGGCUCACUGCUCACACGUCUAUUUUGGAAUAUUGUUCAAUAUUGGCUGCAGCUGCUUGAUUUAAUUAGGUGCUGUCUAAAUUACUUGUUUCAAUACAAGACAUACAUGCAUGCAUGUGUAGUCAUUAUCUACAUAAGAAAAUAGAAAACUCUGGUGCGGUGCCCACCGAAAUUUAUUGUUUUUGUCGAUAUGAGAUUCCAUCAUAGGUACAUGAACAUAUCUGCUUGUAUGGUUAAAUUUUGGGAUUUUAAAAAUUGUUGAAAAGUUUAAUAGUUUUGGUGAAAAUAAUAAUUUAUAUUUAUAAUUUUUUGAUAACUUGACAAGAGCUCAAUGAUUUUUUCGGUCAAAUCUUUUUUUUUUUUUUUUUUCUGGUUAUUGAUGAGAAUGGAUGGAAUUUUUCAGAUUACAUCGAUGAAUUAUUAUUAUUAUUUUUUUUUAAAGAUGAAAACUGUUCAGCCAAACACAAUCAUGAUUACGCUAUAGGAUUUUAGUUUUCACCAAAAUAUCUACAAAUCCCAAUUGUUCUCUGUCGGUCAUGAUCUUAGGAUAUAAUUAUUUAAUGGGAGUUGUUGGCAUGAAGUUAAUUUUAGUGAUCUCUUUUUCUACAUGUUAGUACUGUAUUGGUCAAUUGACCAAGUUAAGUUCAUAAUAACCGGAUCCUUAAUACAAAUGAUAUUAAUGACUAAUUACGUUAAUAACAUCAACCGAAUAAAAACUUCAAAAUUCCAUGAAAAGUAAAAUCUCUCAAAUAGUAAUUAAUAAUAAUUGUCAAAGAAUGAAAUAUCAAAUAAACAAUACGAGAACAUAUUUACAAUUAUAAGUAACUUUCGUAGGACUAUUAGGGAAAAUAACUAAACCUUAAAAAUAUAAAAGCAUCAAAACUAAACCCAAUAACAAAUCGACCACAAACAGAUUAAACUACCAAAUUUCCUUAAAACAAUAAGUAAAAACACACAAUGUAUUUUAAAUCUCUCUAAGUAUAUUAGGAGGGGUGUAUUCAAUUAAGAUUUUUAAAGAUUUUUUUUAAGUGAUAAAUUUUUGUAGAAUUCCUAAAUAGGAAAUUUAAAAAUAAAAAUGAAAAUAAUCAAGUGGUGUGAAAUAUUGGGAUCCGGUUAGCAUGAAGUUUAAUUUUUUGGUAAUUUGGUCAAUUGGCCAAUAGGAUGCUGACACAUAUAAAGCCUCACAUGCGUGUCAGCACUCUAUUGGCCAAUUGACCAACUUACCCAAAAAUAAACUUCAUGCUAACCACUCCCGAAAUAUUGUUGGCUACUGACAUUUCAAGAGAGGGCACCUUAGUGUAGAUGAAUCAGCGGCUGAUCUAUGCUUGGGGCAGGGGGCACCUGCCCCCACUGAAUUUUCUAGCUUUAAAAUAGAGUAGCUUGUUGGCUGUUGUAUUUGGAUCUGCUUCUAUUUUUGUCUAAAUCUGUUCGCCGAAGGUCAUGUAUGGUUUGGAUCGAUCUUGUGAUCGGUAAGCAUGGUUUUUCGGCGGUUUAUAUAUGUUUGUUCUGGAUGCCUUUGUUUGAAAUCACUUGAAAAGCAAUUCGGCCCCUUGAUUUUCAAUUCUAAUUAGUUAUGGGCCUGAACAUAGGUUUAAGCCGGAUAGGCUUUUGGGUUGAUUUGCUUGUAUGAAAUUUGAUUUUUAAUAUUUGUAAUGCAACUCCGUGUGGCUUUAUCCAAUUAUUUUGGAUUUGUCACAUUUGUACUAUAUUGAGUUUUUAAUAAAAAAACUUUGCUAAUAAAAAAACCAUUUUAGUAUUUUUUUUAUAAGAAAAUUAUAUAUAUAUAUAAUUUUUUUUCUUUAAGAGAUUUUUUUUGUGAAUUUAAUCCGAUUGAGCUAGUCGGCUGGAUCCCCCCGAGAUGAAUCCGUCCAUGUCUCGUUAGUAUAUAUUUCAAUUAAUAUGUAAAUGUCUAUGGAGCUGUUAUAGCAAGAGAAUACAUUUCUGCAUAUAAAGACACUGCACAACUAAUUAUUUCACAGGACCAAAGCCAAUGAGAGUUUGCAUCUCAUAAAUUUAAUGGUGUCGUUGACCUAUUUUAGGGCAAAUUUUGCUCCCUUCUCCUUGGGCUCACCUUAAUCACUGACCGAAAAUCAUUUUAAAUUACUUUUUUCUUGUUUAUCGAAUAUGUCUUGAGGAACAAUACAAAUGACCAUCUCUUUAAUUAAUAUGUUUCAAGAAAACAUAAGUAAGAUGCAUAUUGGACAAAAAACAUGAUCAAUAUAAUAGAUUAUAACGAGGUCUAAAUUAUUGUCGUCUACAUCAAUUUCACUUGAGAAGAAAUUUACCACAAGUCAAGAUAAUUAUCGUAAUAACGAUAGAUAAUUGAGUAACGAAAGGUGGAAUACGACCUUUAUCCUUCCUCAAUAUCAUACCUCCAAUGAUCGGAUAAUUCAAAGUUACCACAAAAAAUGAUAGAAAAUUUUGAAUAAACAUCUCAUUGCAGCUCCUUGCAAUAACCGCUUUCACAACUCCCCCAACUAAAGCAACUAAAUUUAAGGCGAUUAAGGUACAUAGCGGAGCAAGCAACAUAGUCGAUGCUUGGAAAUCAAAUAUGCCCAUUUGGUAUCGUUUAAGUUGUUCAUCAUCAAUAACUUUGUUGGUUGGUAAGAAGCUAACUUCUCUCAUACCCAUUUUCUCCAUAAUUGCAUUCAAGCUUCCAUAAAGGUGACAUGUAACGGACUUAAUCAUCCACAUUCUUUGUUCAUUCCUCCAAGUUUGGAAUGACCCUCCGCUAGAGAAAAUCUCUUGUAUGUGUUUCAAUUGCGAUGAGACAAAUAUCAAUGAGAAUACUACGAAAAAUGAACUUGAAACCUGCACAAGAAAAAAGCAUGAACAUAGCUGAAUCAUUAUUAUUUUUCAACGAUUUGUAAUUGUAAAGAAAGUACACAUAUAUACAUGAGGAACCAAAAUAUGUAAUAAUUGAUUAAUUCAUCUCUUUUUUGGCUUACUUUUGGGAAUAAAGGAAUGUCAUUAAGUAGACAUAAUGGAGGGAUUGUAGCUAGACACCAUAGGGGAAAGAAAUAGAAGGGGAAGGAGGCCUGCUCUGCAUAACACAUCGCCUCAAGAAUAGGCAUUCUGAGUGAACCAUAAACAAGAGGGGAGAACUUUGAAAUGGCAACUUCCACCAACCCGGAACUCCAUCGCGUGCUUUGAACCAAAACAUCACUAAGAUUUGUGGUGCCGGCACCCAAAAAUGCUGGUCUUGGUGGGUCAAAAAACACAGAUCUCCAACCUUGACAAUGCAAGUUGAAUCCUGUGAAGUAAUCUUCUACCACGGAAAAAUACCGAAGACCUACCUGUAGUUUAAGCAAAAUAUAUGCAUAAUAUGUUAGUUUCAAGUAUGUGUACUAAUGGGAAGGUCAUUUGACACUCUUUUUGCUCACAAAUUAAGCUUUAAAUUUAAUGAUUGUAUCUUAAGGCACAUCGUCCAAAUGCACCAUUGUUGAUUUAACUUGCCUCUUUGCCCCAAUUUGUAUCAUUCUCGUAUGCACAAGAGGCCACAAGUUUGCUCUCUUCUAGCAAUGCACUAGUUAAGUUCUCAUCAUCAAUGAUACUAGGUUUAUAGUUCCGAGCAAGGGAUUCGAUGAACUCAUUGGAUGUACCGAAGAUAUGUUUAAGUUCCUUGACAUCAAGAUCUGGAAAUAUAUAUGUUAACAAAAGCAAAUUAAUACGUUUAAGCGAAAGUAAAUCUUAAUAUGAAUAUAAAAAAAUAGGAAGUAAAAAUAGGACUUUCAUUUCGGAAUGGAGCUAAAGAUUAUAAACUAGAAUAUAUAUAUAUAUAUAUAUAUAUAUAUAUAUAUAUAUAUAUAUAUAUGUACAUACCAUCUUGCAUUGAAGUUCCAUAGAAUCUCUCUCUCUUUAUAUAAUAGCACGUACCACAAAUGGGUGGUCCCUUAAGUCCAUCCAUACCUGGCCAUAGUACCUGAAACAAUAUUUAAAAAAGAAAAAGUUUGAAAAUAUUAUUAAUGACGAUCAAUUAAAAUGUUAUAUAUAAAAAUUAUUUUGAUAACCAUAAAUAUACGUUUGAACAGUAUCUCAGUUGACUAUCAUAGAUGUCGGUCUCGCUAAUGUUGUGGAAUUUUUGAGGGAAUUGGACAUGAGAUAAUGAGGGAGAUAUCUUGGGGUCAAGAAGGAAACACAUGGCUUGGCGUGCUGAAAUUGGAUCAUUGCAAUACAUGUCGCAAUCCAACCCUAGUAUGUAUGCUGAAUUGCUUAUCAUGUUCGAGACUCUCAGCUACAACAAUAGUAAACACAAGAAAAUAGAUUACUCUACUUACAAGAGGUAAAAUAUUCUAUUUGAAGAGUAUGAUGAUCAGUGUGAGAGAGAAGUUACAAGAACAUUCAGAGCUCCAGCUUUGAAAUGGUGAGGAUAAGCUGGUCUUUUUUCACGCGAAACAUAAACAAGGAGAGGCAUCGCAGUUUGGUCAAAGGAUUUAUCAUGAAUCACCUGUUGGAAAAGACAUUAAUUAUUAGAUGUCUGAAUUGAAUAUUAGUACAAAUUUUGAUCACAUAUAUAAAUACUUUAUUAGUAUCGAUCAACCAACUUUAAUAAAGAUGUUAACUUGAUAUUUUGUGAAGUGAUCUCUCCCUAACUGUUUAAACUUUUAAAUGAGGACAUAACUUAACAAGAAUUGUUAAACUUCUGAUAAGUACUUAUGUCUUAUACGCGACUUGCAAUAUUAAUAUAAGCCGUCCGCUUCUCCAACGAAUUUGAGGGAGCGAACUAAGAAUGAAUCGAGUAUAUCGACAAUUUUUUCUAUCGCUAUAGAAUAGAAAGUCGAUUUUCUAUACCGGUUCGUUCUUAGUCCACUCUCUCCGUUUUACUAGAGAGAGCCGGGCUUAAUAUAAGUUAUGUUAUCAUUUGGAAUAUAUAUACAUAUAUAGGCGGCUUCCUAUGCGGGUGAAAAACCGUCGUUAAACCCGUCGUCAUAGGGUCUGAAUCGAGCUAUAGCGACGAUUCUGGGCUAUGAUGACGGUUCAAACCCUUGGCGACAGGUUUAGCGACGAUUUUACCUGUCGCUAAAUGUGGUCCGCAUGCGAAUCACCUGCAUAAGAAAUUAUAUAUAUAUAUAUAUAUAUAUAUAUAUAUAUAUAUAUAUAUUGAGAUAGUGAUAGAUUGAAAAAAUAAUACAUAUAUUUUCAUCUGAUAAAAUAGUAUUGAUGUUGACAAUUAUUUUUGUAUACAGUAAGAUCAUAUCUUUUAAGAAAAAUAGUUUAUUCAAAGGAACACGUUUUUGAUCCAUAUAUUGUUAUCUUGUAGAUAUUUUAAGUUUAAUUUGGUGUGUAGUUGCAGACCUAUUUAUAAUAUGUUAGAGCUAGUUGAAUGAAAUAACUUUAUAGUAAUUAGGUUCUUAAUGAAUCAGAAAAGUUAAUGUACUAUUAUAUUGCAUAGUAGUAAAAUCCAAAAAAUAAAAUAAAAUUGAAUUGAGAUGACAAAAAAAAUUAGUGAGUUGAUUUGAGACUAACGAAAAUCACGUGUCUUUAUCUUAUUUAUUAUUCUUCCGUUUUCAAAAGAAUGACAAAAUGUAUUAAUUAUUUUCUUUUCAAAAAAAUGAGAUAAAGUACAUUAAGUGAAUGGUAACUAAAUUAUUCAGUGAGAUCUAUUAAUAUAAAAAAAAAUACUCAUCACUUUAUAUAAUUUUGUGGGACACUAAGGAUAAAUUUAAAAUUUUUUAUUUUCUUUUCUCUAUUUUUACAGUUUUACUUUUUUUAAUGUGGUAAAUUAUAUUUUGCUUAUUACGGUGAGUAUAAAAAAAACGGAUUCGGUUACCAUGAAGUUAAAUUCAUGAUAAAUUGAUCAAUUGGUCAAUACAGUGUUAAUACGCAGAGAAAGAAAUCACCUCCCACCUGCGUGUUGACACUGUAUUGAUGUAUUGAUGACCAAAAACUGAUAAGAGUAAUUUUAAAAGUAUCAAAAGUUUUAGACUUCGAGCAACCAACUUUUUGAGGGUAGCUAGCUAAUUAGCUGAUGCAUAUGUAAUUAACAAGGGUCGUAUAUAUAUGUACGUACGUAGUUCAAAUGUUGAAUUUCAUUACCUCAACAACAGAAGAAUGAUUGUGAUUAAGUACGGUGAUUUCAUAUUCUCUGAUUUUCAUCACACUCUCGGUGAACACCUCAUAUUUUUCCUGCACCAUUAAUCAGCAACUCGUUUCAUAUACAUAUAUAUACAUAUUAUAAAGAUACUACUAUUACUUAAUAGUGUCCAACCUUAAUAAAAUUUAUGUCAGCUACUAAUUCACUUCUAAGAAAAUCCCCAUAAUUAUCAUUAUCCUCCAAAGCCGAAAAAUAAGCCUCAGGGCACCUAGUCUUAAUACCAAACCUCUUACAGAAGGGCAGCCACCACUUGGCAAAUCUCCAAGCCUCCAUCAUGGCUUUCAAAGUCACCGGAGAGCCCCCAUCAUCGGAAAGAUAAACAUUCAGCUUAUCAGCCGGAUAAUCCAACGCCAUGGCAGAUAUAACAGUG
rnacentral:lncRNA from 1 species